rnacentral:rRNA from 1 species
CUGGAAACGGCUGCUGAUACCCCAUAUGCCGCGAGGUGAAAUGAAUUUCGCCUGAGGAUGAGCUCGCGUCUGAUUAGCUAGUUGGUGAGGUAAUGGCUCACCAAGGCAUCGAUCAGUAGCUGGUCUGAGAGGACGAUCAGCCACACUGGGACUGAGACACGGCCCAGACUCCUACGGGAGGCUGCAGCAGGGAAUAUUGUGCAAUGAACGAAAGCUUGACGCAGCGACACCGCGUGUGGGAUGACGGAUCUAGGUUUGUAAACCACUUUCAGGAGGGAAGAAAAUGACGGUACCUCCACAAGAAGCCCCGGCCAACUACGUGCCAGCAGCCGCGGUAAUACGUAGGGGGCGAGCGUUGUCCGGAUUUAUUGGGCGUAAAGAGCUCGUAGGCGGUUCAACAAGUCGGUCGUGAAAGUUCAGGGCUCAACCCUGAAAUGUCGAUCGAUACUGUUGUGACUAGGAUACGGUAGAGGUGAGUGGAAUUCCGAGUGUAGCGGUGAAAUGCGUAGAUAUUCGGAGGAACACCAAUAGCGAAGGCAGC